ensembl:snRNA U6 U6 spliceosomal RNA
GUGCUCUCUCUGGCAGCACACAUACUAAAAUUGCAAUGCUACAGAGCUCAGCAUGGCCCCUGCCCAAGGUUGACACACCAAUGACAAAGCGCUCCAUAUUUUU